GGAGGCGCCCAAAGGUUCCCUCAGAAUGGUUGGAAAUCAUUCGCAGAGUGUAAAGGCACAAGGGAGCUUGACUGCGAGACCUACAAGUCGAGCAGGGACGAAAGUCGGGCUUAGUGAUCCGGUGGUUCCGCAUGGAAGGGCCAUCGCUCAACGGAUAAAAGCUACCCCGGGGAUAACAGGCUUAUCUCCCCCAAGAGUCCACAUCGACGGGGAGGUUUGGCACCUCGAUGUCGGCUCAUCGCAUCCUGGGGCUGUAGUCGGUCCCAAGGGUUGGGCUGUUCGCCCAUUAAAGCGGUACGCGAGCUGGGUUCAGAACGUCGUGAGACAGUUCGGUCCCUAUCCGUCGCGGGCGCAGGAAAUUUGAGAGGAGCUGUCCUUAGUACGAGAGGACCGGGAUGGACGCACCGCUGGUGUACCAGUUGUUCUGCCAAGGGCAUCGCUGGGUAGCUAUGUGCGGACGGGAUAAGUGCUGAAAGCAUCUAAGCAUGAAGCCCCCCUCAAGAUGAGAUUUCCCAUUCCGCAAGGAAGUAAGAUCCCUGAAAGAUGAUCAGGUUGAUAGGUCUGAGGUGGAAGUGUGGCGACACAUGGAGCUGACAGAUACUAAUCGAUCGAGGACUUAACCAAUUU
rnacentral:rRNA from 1 species